rnacentral:lncRNA from 1 species
GAAAACUUUUUUAUUGAGGAAAUAAGCCUUCUGAAAUAUAUUUGGCCUCCUCAAGUGCAUUCUGGUUUCAACAAGCUGGUUGAGAUGGCCCUGAGAGGAAUGGAGGGAAAAUCAGAGGCUGCUCAUUUUAAUUCGAAAAAAGAAGAAAGAUCAACUAUUUCUAUAGUUCUUCGUACAAGAAUCAACUGAAAUUAAAUAAUCUUAUGUGAGUGCUGGAUCUGCUGCAGCCAUCUUGCUACCUACCUGAGAAAGAAACCAGCAUUGAAGGGAGGUGCAAAGAACCUGGAUCCUGAAUCAACCAAGCCUGAAUCCUGUCUAACCUCUGUACACACUGUUUAUG